UGACCCUAGGUCAGGCAAGAUUACCCUAUAAGUUUAAGCAUAUCAAUAAGCAAAGGAAAAGAAACUUACCAUGAUUCCCCUAGUAAUGGCAAGUGAACUAAGAAAAGCAUAGCUUAUGAAUCAGGCACCUUUGGCAUAGGAAUUGUAGUUUAAAAAAAUGUUUUUAGUAGCGAGCUAAGCCCAAGUCCUCUAAAAAAGGGUGUUGGAGAGGUUGGUAGGCCCAACGUGCCUAGACCCUGUCACACCAUGAGGUGUUAUCUAUGAGUUGAGUUGUUUGGGAAUGCAACCCUAAUUGGGUGGUAAAUUCUGUCCAAAGCUAAAUAUGGGCAAGAUAGCGAUAAUGAACAAGCAUCCUAAGGGAAAGAUGAAAAGGACUUUGAAAAUAUAGUCAAAAUAUGCUUGAAAUUGUUGGAAGGGAAGUGGAUAGGGGUCGACGAUACACCCUGGUCUGAUGUAGAAUGGUGAGAGCCAAUUUGCCAAUCGACUCAAGGUGUGGACCGACGCAGGUCAUGGUGGUUGCCCAAGCUCGAGCUUUCAAUAUGCCCACAAAGACAUCAUCACUAUGAUCGUGGAAUGUAGCAUGCAUCAUCUUGGCAUGCCUUCACACUAGUGUGCUUUAGCAUCAACCUAUAACUCCCCAUCUUACCUAUCUUAAAGCAUGAACCAAGAAGUCUAAUAUGUGUGCGAGUUAAUAGGCUAAAAACCCUGUAAGGUGAAAGAAAGUUGAUUGGCGGGAUCCCUCAUAAGUGCACCAUCAAUCGACCUUGAUCUUCUAAGAAGGGUUUAAGUGUGAGUAUGCCUAUCGAGACCUAAAAGAUGGUGAACUAUGCCUAUGCAAGGUGAAGCCAAAAGAAACUUUGGUGGAGGCCCAUAGUGAUACUGACAUGCAAAUUGUUAAUUUGACUUAGGUAUAAGGGUGAAAGACUAAUCAAACCAUCUAGUAGCUAGUUCCCUAUGAAAUUUCCCUCAAGAGGACCCCUUAGCGAGUUAUAUUAGGUGAAGCCAAUGAUUAGAGGCAUCGGGUGUGCAACACGCUUGACUUAUUCUCUAACUUUAAAUAGGUAGGAUAAUACAUCUGCUUUAUUAGACCAUGCCACAGAAUCAAGAGCUCUAAGUGGGCUAUUUUUUGGUAAGCAGAACUAACGAUGCAGGAUGAACUAGAAGUUAGGUUAUGGUGCCUAAUUGUGCACCAACCUAGAACCCAUAAAGGGUGUUAGUUGAUUAAGAUAGCAAGAUAAUGAACAUGGAAGUUGAAAUAUACUAAAGAGUGCAUGACAACUCACCUGCCAAAUCAAUUAGCCCCGAAAAUGGAUGAUGUUUAAGCAUACGACCUAUACCAAGCUGUUGGGGCAAGGGCCAAGUCCCAAUGAGUACGAAAGCAUGGCAAUCAUCGUAAAACUCGAUAUGCUAGCCAGAGUGAAGCAACCAUCAAUGCAGAUCUUGGUGAUAGUAACAAAUAUUCAAAUAAGAACUUUAAAGGCUGAAUAGGGGAAAGGCUCUAUGUGAACAACACUUGCACAUGGGUUAGUUGAUCCUAAAAGACAAGGGAAGCCUACCCGAUAGUGCAUCCAAUGUGAGCUUCAAAAGGUAAUUAUGUUAAAAUUCUUGAAUCAAGACACUGCAGUUGAUGACAACAUUAAAGAGUCCAAAGACAUCAGCGAGGGCCUCAUGAAAAGUAAUUUUUUUGUUUAAUGGCCUGCCCACCUUGGAAACAGCUUAGUUGGAGGUAGGGUCUAGUAGUCAAAGAGCACCACACGUCACUUGGUGUUCGGUGCACCCUUGAUAGCUUUUGAAAAUUUAAAGGAUCAAGUGCCAUUUGUGCCUAGAUGCCUUUCAUGCAUGGUCAAACUUAUAACUGCAUCAGAUCUCUAAAGUGAAUAACCUCUAGUCGAUGCAACAAUGUAGGCAAGGAAAGUUGGCAAAAUAGAUCCGUAACCUAGGGAACAAGUAUUAAUUCUGAGGGUUGGGCAUGGGGGUCUUAGUUCUAAACCCAUUGACUACUGGUGCACUACUCAAGUUGUUCCUAUAGCGCGAACAGGUCACCACGUGUUGAUUAAGGGAUGAACUAGGAAUGGCUCCAUCAAGGGCCUUACCUGGGUGAUGAAUAGUUAACUCAAAAUUGGUACGGGCAAAGGGAAUCUGACUAUUUAAUUAAAAUAAAGCAUUAUGAUGUUCAUUAUGGAUGCUUGCACAAUGUGAUUUCUACCCAAUGUUUUAAAUGUCAAAGUGAAAAAAUUCAAUUAAGCACGGGUAAAUGGUAGGACUAACUAUGACUUUUUUAAGGUAGCCAAAUGCCUUAUCAUCUAAGUAGUGACAUGGAUGAAUGGAUUAACAAGAUUCUCACUAUCCUUGUCUACUAUCUAGUGAAACCAUAGCUAAGGGAAUAGGCUUCAUGAAUUCAAUGAGGAAAAAAGACCCUAUUGAGUUCAAGUUUAGUCUGACUUUGUGAAAAGACUUGAGAGGCAUAAGAUAAGUGGGAGCCCUUAGGCAAAAUUGAAAUAUCACUACUUUUACCAUUAUUUUACUUAUUCUGUGAAUUACAGGUACGACACGAUCCCUUCUUUGAAACCCAUGGCUAACCUCGAUCAGUUGAUCUAGGUAGAAGUCAUUGUCAAGUGCAGAGUUUGCUUGAGGCACCAUAUUUGUUAAAAGAUAACACAAUGUUCUAAGAUGAGUUCAACGAUAAUAAAAGUCUCAUGUGGAAGAAAAGGGUAAAAGCUCAUUUGAUUCUAAUUUUUAGUACAAAUAUGAACUGUGAAAGUGUGGCAUAUUAAUCCUUUAGACCUUCGAAAUUUGAAGCUAGUGGUGUCAAAAAAGUUAUCACAAGGAUGACUGGCUUAUGGUAGCCAAGCAUUCAUAGAGAUGUUGCUUUUUUAUCCUUUGAUGUCAGCUCUUCCUAUCAUUAUGAAGCAAAAUUCACCAAGUGUUGUAUUGUUCACCCACCAAUAAGGAACGUAAGUUAGUUUAGACUAUAACGAGACAGGUUAGUUUUACCUUACUAAUGGUAGCAUCACAAUAGUAAUUCAACAUAGUACGAGAACUGUUGAUUAGCACAAUUAGUCAUAAGACUUGGUUGCAAAGCUCGUGGCAUGAAGUUACCAUGCACUAGAUUAUGACCGAAUACCUCUAAGUUAGAAUUUGGGCUAAAAGUGAUGCAUAUGCUCGUUGCCUGAUUGUUGACCUAAAAUAAGGGCCCAUGGCUCCUAAGGGCAUGGAUCAUAGGUGAAGCCCUUAUGACAAACAAGCUAUGUAGGCUUCCUUAGAGCUCAAUUCCUAUUAAGUAGAGGGUAAAAUCC
rnacentral:rRNA from 1 species